AACGCACGAGACCUGCGGACCUGCGGAAGGAUCAUUAGUGAACGCCCUCACGGGCUUAUAACUAUUCCGAACCUCUGUGAACCGUGCCCUUCGGGGCUAUUUUACAAACAUGGUGUAAUGAACGUCAUAUAUCAUAACAAAACAAAACUUUCAACAAUGGAUCUCU
rnacentral:misc_RNA from 1 species